rnacentral:misc_RNA from 1 species
AGCCUGGCUUGCUGUUGGACCUGUGGUGUCAGACCCCCCUGACACCGGUCCCAAAGAUAAUGACGGCGUCCGUCGGACCCUCGGUACAAGGAGCUUUUCACGAGGCACGUACUGCAGUGGGCUGGCGGACCCGGUCUCUCUAGUUUUUACAAACUCUUAAGGUUGACCUCGGAUCAGGUAGGAAUACCCGCUGAACUUAA